CCUACGGGAAGCAGCAGUGAGGAAUAUUGGUCAAUGGACGAGAGUCUGAACCAGCCAAGUAGCGUGAAGGAUGACUGCCCUAUGGGUUGUAAACUUCUUUUAUAUGGGAAUAAAACGUUCCACGUGUGGGAUUUUGUAUGUACCAUAUGCAUAAGGAUCGGCUAACUCCGUGCCAGCAGCCGCGGUAAUACGGAGGAUCCGAGCGUUAUCCGGAUUUAUUGGGUUUAAAGGGAGCGUAGGUGGAUUGUUAAGUCAGUUGUGAAAGUUUGCGGCUCAACCGUAAAAUUGCAGUUGAAACUGGCAGUCUUGAGUACAGUAGAGGUGGGCGGAAUUCGUGGUGUAGCGGUGAAAUGCUUAGAUAUCACGAAGAACUCCGAUUGCGAAGGCAGUUCACUGGACUGCAACUGACACUGAGGCUCGAAAGUGUGGGUAUCAAACAGGAUUAGAUACCCCGGUAGUC
rnacentral:rRNA from 1 species